rnacentral:rRNA from 1 species
GACGAACGCUGGCGGCGUGCCUAACACAUGCAAGUCGAGCGGGGAGAGAUUUUCGGAUUUCUCUUUAGCGGCGGACGGGUGAGUAACACGUGGGUAACCUGCCUCAAAGAGGGGGAUAGCCUUCCGAAAGGAAGAUUAAUACCGCAUAAAAUCAUGGCACUGCAUGGUGCCGUGAUCAAAGGAGCAAUCCGCUUUGAGAUGGACCCGCGGCGCAUUAGCUAGUUGGUGAGGUAACGGCCCACCAAGGCGACGAUGCGUAGCCGACCUGAGAGGGUGAUCGGCCACAUUGGAACUGAGACACGGUCCAGACUCCUACGGGAGGCAGCAGUGGGGAAUAUUGCACAAUGGGGGAAACCCUGAUGCAGCAACGCCGCGUGAGUGAUGAAGGCCUUCGGGUCGUAAAGCUCUUUGAUCAGGGACGAUAAUGACGGUACCUGAAAAACAAGCCACGGCUAACUACGUGCCAGCAGCCGCGGUAAUACGUAGGUGGCGAGCGUUGUCCGGAUUUACUGGGCGUAAAGAAUGCGUAGGUGGAUAUUUAAGUGGGAUGUGAAAUCCCCGGGCUCAACCCGGGAACUGCAUUCCAAACUGGAUAUCUAGAGUGCAGGAGAGGAAAGCGGAAUUCCUAGUGUAGCGGUGAAAUGCGUAGAUAUUAGGAGGAACACCAGUGGCGAAGGCGGCUUUCUGGACUGUAACUGACACUGAGGCAUGAAAGCGUGGGUAGCAAACA